rnacentral:lncRNA from 1 species
AGGAUAAGCGACAUCGGGGCAGGUCCUGGGUAGAGUCCAGGUUGGCGGUUCCUGGGGCAGGGCCAGGAUAGGGCGAUCCUGGAAGCUGGGCUUCGGAAGCGUCCAGCUGUUGUUCCCCACCAGAACCAAAUGAGCGCAAGAUCUGACAAAGAAAAAAAAAGGUUCAUCUUUUAUUCCUCCAAACACUUUCAUUUAAAUCAAGAGGAUGGGAUGUGGUUAUUGCUGUGUUUUUAGACAGAAUCAACGGUUUCUGGGUCUGAGAUGUUGCAUACACCUUCUCAGUCCCUGUAUCCUGAGAUGGAGUCACCUGAGAAUCCACAGCAAGUCCUAACCAGGGAUGGGUCUGGGUGAUUAAGGAAGGUUGGCUUCAGAACUGGGCCAGGGGCACUGCUUUGCUUUUGCUGUUUUGAUCAGCUCUCUGCCUGAAGGAGACAAGAAAAACCAACGGGAACAGCUGGGGAAACUGAGUUACAGAGCUUGUCUGCACUGAGUCAUCAGGAGCAAAUGCUAGAUCAGAUAGGGUCUCUCUCUCUGCCACCCAGGCCAGAGUGCAGUUGACGCAGGGCAGGGGAGCCCCGAAGUGGAGCAUAGUGUGUCCGGAACUGGUGGGUUCUUGGUCUCACUGACUUCAAGAAAGAAGCCGCGGACCCUCG